rnacentral:sRNA from 1 species
AUCCCCCAGGCCCUGGACAGCACUGACCUCGACGUCCCCACAGAAGCUGUGACAUGCCAGCCUCAGGGGAACCCCUUGGGCUGCACCCCACUUCUGCCGAAUGGCUCUGGCCACCCCUCAGAGCUGGGCGGCACCAGACGGGCGGGGAAUGGUGCCCUGGGUGGCCCCAAGGCCCACCGGAAGUUGCAGACACACCCAUCUCUCGCCAGCCAGGGCAGCAAGAAGAGUAAGAGCAGCAGCAAAUCCACCACCUCCCAGAUCCCCCUCCAGGCACAGGAAGGUAAGCACCCAUCCCAUCUCUCCCUGGGAGAGGCCUCCAAAGCUGGGUUCCUCGAAGCAUGACGCAUGGGCCCACUGGAGCACCUUCACCAGGCUGUUGCUUAGAAAUGCAGGAUCUCAGCCUCCUUCCACGCCUACUGGAUUGGAAUCUCUGGUGGAGCUUAACAAGCCCUGCAGGGAACCUGACGCAUGACCAAAUCUUAGAACCUUGCAAAGUACACCUGUUGGGUAAAGGUGUACCUGCCUUCUCAAGGCCACCUCCCCACCACC